UUGUUCUUCAUGUCCCCAAGUACUAGUGUUGUGAUUUUCAUGUUAUUGUACUGUAUCAUUCUUUAAUAAUUGCAUGCCAAAAUCAUGAAAAAAUGCCAUCUUUCUCACUAUACACUCAUAUUUGAAAAGUCAUAAAAAAUUAAAAUCAAAUUGUUUUCUGCAAACUCCAACAGACUCUUGUUCUACAUGUUCCCAAGUACCACUGUGGUGAUUUUCAUAUUAUUUUACUGUAUCAUUCUUUAAUAAUUGCAUGCCAAAAUCAUGAAACAUGCGAUCUUUCUCACUAUACGCGCAUAUUUGAAAAUUCAUUAAGAAUUAAAAUCAAAUUGUUUUCUGCGAUUUCCACGAGACUCUUAUUCUACAUGUCCACUGUGGUCAUUUACAUAUAAAUUUACUGUAUCAUUUUUUAAUAAUUUCAUGCCGAAUCAUGCAACAUGCUAUCUUUUUCACUAUUCACUCAUAUUUGAAAAUUCAUUAAAAAUUAAAAUCGAAUUGUUUUCUGCAAACUCCUUCAGACUCUUGUUCUACAUCUUCCCCGGUAAGACUGUGGUGAUUGUCAUCUUACUUUACAGUAUAAUUGUUUAAUAAUUGCUUACCAAAUCAUGACCAAUGCUAUCUUCUUCCACACUGUAAAUACAUUUUAAAAAUCCAUAAAAAGGUCAAAUCUAAUUGUUUUCUGCAAACUCCACCAGAUUCUUUUUCUACGUCUCCCCAGGUACCAGUGUGGGGAUUGUCAUCUUACUUUACUGUAUAAUUUUUUUAAUAAUUGCUUACCAAAGUCCUGACCGAUGCUAUUGACCUCGCUAUGUCCACAUACAAACAAACCUGUAGACUUUUAUUUACUUUUGGCUGGCUUUGGGAUAACCAUGAGGUUUGGAUAUUGACUGUGUAUUUGACAUUAUGUUUGGCUUAAUGAAGGUUUUGGUAAUUCUCAUCCUGCCUUGUGUGUGCCGUUUCUCUGUCUUGACCCACAACAUGAACAUGUCAUAACUUACAGGUGAAUGUUUACAAAUAUGUAUAUGUUAAUUUGAAUAAACAUUUAUGUAGCCUAUUCAAAUUUAAUAUUUUAUCUGGUCUUCCAGAUAUAACUUUCAGUGUUGUGAUGUACAAUAAAAUGUCCAUAUAACUGCACUUUUCCAUUAUCACUAAUCUUAUGCUAUUGUCACUAUCCAGCAAGAUCAUCACGGUCACAAAGGUAUUACUGUUAGUAUAGUGGUUGUAGUACUAAUUUGUAUAUUGUGGCACAUUGUAUACAAAAAUGUACCCAUUAAGCACAGCCAGACUUUUUGCAUUUAAUGAUGUAUAUCUUAAUUGGAAUGCUUUUGUCAUUUAAAAUAAAAUUAAAUAAUUUUGUGUGAGAGAUAUUAUUUUAUUUUAACAACUUAUUGUACUGAAACCAAUAUCUUGUGCAGUGAACAUGUCUCAAUGUAGAUUUUGGUGAGCUUAAUAGGUAUACAAGUAUAGGGUACAUAAAACUAAUGUUAAAAUAAUGUGUUAUUAGCAAACCGGUGCAUUUUAUAUGCAUACAUUGCUUUGCAAACAUACUGAAUGUUAUACAGGUAAUUUAUUAGUGUUUUUUUUUUUUCCUAAAUGAUGAUUCAAACCAAAAGAGGCAUUGCAGUCUUUUUCAAGUUUGUUGUUAAUUAGCAUUUUGCUCUGCAUUGUUAUUCUUAUUACUAAUAGAUUUAAUGUACCUUGUACAGUACAAUAUGCUGUUUUAAAUGAAUUAAUAGUAACAAUGGCAUGGUUAAAAAGCAUUCAAAGAAACACUUUAUUGUUUUAAACUCUAAAGUCUAUUUAUAGGGAGGCAAGUUUAUAGUAAUUGACUUGUAACUGCCUUUUGAAGCAUCAUUUUGAAGUUUUACACAUGAAUUGUUCUGUGUUAAAACAAUAAUAUCCGUCUCUGUCUGCUGGUCUCUUUAAAUACAUUUUGAAGUAAUGUACUUCUAAUGCAUGUAUUGAAAAUAAAUAUUUACUUGAAAUUAUCAUUAACUUGUUCAUUAUUCUUGUUAUGUCAUGGUGGUGGUGAUGUUAUUUAUUAUUAGUAGUAGAGAUAAAUAAUUAUUGUUAUAUAUUAUAUAAUAAUAUUGGUGUUAUAAAUAAUGUUUUACUAGUAACAAUACUACUGUAAAUAUGAAAAAGAGCAUAUCUUAUCAAAGAAAUCUACUUACUGUCAUAUUAACUAAACUUGUCAAAAUGCAUAAAUCAUAAUCAUCAUUUGUUAAUUAUUAAAAGUACUAAUUACUUGUUGCAAUUUUAUAUAUAACAAAAGUUGAUUAACUAUAACACUUUUCGGAUUGUUUGUUGUUAUGCCAUGCUUUAAUAUGAAAUAUCUCAUGUUUUGUAUUUUUAAUGUCAUUAUUUGUUUCUUGCCCCUCUUGCAUAUGUAAAGUGGUUUCUAUGUAUUAAUUAGAUGAUGAUUAGUAAUAGCAGUCAUGUUCAGAAUUAUUGGGAGAGUUGCAUAAAGCACGUAUUCCUCCAAUAUUUUCCCUCAAAGUAUUUAUGAAGCCUGGUAAACCCUGACUAUAAAGGAGCUGAUUCCCUGCAACAUUUUCUGCUGCCUUUAUCACAUCUUCCAUGGCAUUUAUCACAGGCUCCCAGAGGAUGAAGCUCUGAGUUUGUUUCUCCAAUACAGUGACUCUUCCAUUAAGAACAGUCAGAAGGGUCACAGCUCUCCUGACCGUUUCCUGAAUAUCAGCUGUGAACUGUAGAUGCUGCUUCAACUCUUCAGUCUCCUUCUCCAAUUUAUUUAGCAACUUAACUGUCUCUUCAGUCUCAUUCUGUAUGGUAGCGAUCUUGGAUUGGUAAUCAGACACCUUCAUGCUCUUCUCAUUCACCUCGGACUCCUGUAUUUUUAGCUCAUUUUCAGCUUCCCUGAUAGCGUUUGAAGCCUUAACAAUUUCACUAGCUCCCACAGACAUCAUUAUUAUACCUAGUGGAAAGCAAGAAAUCUUAUCAGCCACAAAUAUUGGUUAGUUGUAAUUGUUAAGAUGAUGAUAAAAAGUAGUAGUGGAUCAGAGAGGAUUACUCACCAGGAAUCCAUCCGAUAAUUGGUAUUGCAGCCACUACCGCCCCUCCAAUUGUUACACCUGUGCCAGUGUUAUGUCUAGCUUGCUGUCUUUGUAGUUCAUCUUUUGUCAAUGCUAUCAUUUUUUCAGCCUGUUCCAAAGCUGCUUUAGAAUUCUUUAAUGAUUCUUCAGCAGAGUUCUUCUCGAUGUGUAAUUUAUCCAUUGCAUUGCGUUUUUCUUUGUUCUGCUGCUCAGCAUUUCCUUUUUCUUGAAUAAGUCGCUCCAUGCAUUCAUCUAAAUUUUUUAGUUUUUCCUUAAUCAUUGUCUCUGAUUUUUCCAGG
ensembl:lncRNA